rnacentral:rRNA from 1 species
UACGUAGGUGGCAAGCGUUAUCCGGAAUUAUUGGGCGUAAAGCGCGCGCAGGUGGUUUUCUUAAGUCUGAUGUGAAAGCCCACGGCUCAACCGUGGAGGGUCAUUGGAAACUGGGAGACUUGAGUGCAGAAGAGGAAAGUGGAAUUCCAUGUGUAGCGGUGAAAAUGCGUAGAGAUAUGGAGGAACACCAGUGGCGAAGGCGACUUUCUGGUCUGUAACUGACACUGAGGCGCGAAAAGCGUGGGGGAGCAAACAGG